GGGGGGGGGGGGGGGGGGGGGGGGGGGGGGGGGGGGGGGGGGGGGGGGGGGGGGGGGGGGGCGGAGGGGGGGGUGGCGGGUGAGGGCGUGGCGUUGGGGGGGGGACAACAACUGGGGACGGGUGCGACUACCCCGUAGGCUGAGGGGCAACAGGAGAAGUCCGCCCAAGGAGGGGCUCGCGUCUGAUCAGCUGGUUGGUGAGGUAAUAGCUUACCAAGGCGAUGAUCAGUAGCUGGUCCGAGAGGAUGAUCAGCCACACUGGGACUGAGACACGGCCCAGACUCCUACGGGAGGCAGCAGUGGGGAAUUUUCCGCAAUGGGCGAAAGCCUGACGGAGCAAUGCCGCGUGGAGGUGGAAGGCCUACGGGUCGUCAACUUCUUUUCUCGGAGAAGAAACAAUGACGGUAUCUGAGGAAUAAGCAUCGGCUAACUCUGUG
rnacentral:rRNA from 1 species